CAGUAGCCACGGUAAUACGUAGGGUGCGAGCGUUAAUCGGAAUUACUGGGCGUAAAGCGUGCGCAGGCGGUUUUGUAAGACAGGCGUGAAAUCCCCGGGCUCAACCUGGGAAUGGCGCUUGUGACUGCAAAGCUAGAGUGCGGCAGAGGGGGAUGGAAUUCCGCGUGUAGCAGUGAAAUGCGUAGAUAUGCGGAGGGACACCAAUGGCGAAGGCAAUCCCCUGGGCCUGCACUGACGCUCAUGCACGAAAGCGUGGGGAGCAAACAGGAUUAGAUACCCCAGUAGUCCCUGUCUCUUAUAC
rnacentral:rRNA from 1 species